AUUGAACGCUGGCGGCAUGCCUUACACAUGCAAGUCGAACGGCAGCACGGGUGCUUGCACCUGGUGGCGAGUGGCGAACGGGUGAGUAAUACAUCGGAACGUACCUUAUCGUGGGGGAUAACGCAGCGAAAGCUGUGCUAAUACCGCAUACGCCCUGAGGGGGAAAGCGGGGGAUCGCAAGACCUCGCGCGAUUAGAGCGGCCGAUGCCUGAUUAGCUAGUGGGUGGGGUAAAAGCGCUCCAAGGCGACGAUCAGUAGCUGGUCUGAGAGGACAGUCAGCCACACUGGGACUGACGCACGGCCCAGACUCCUACGGGGGGCAGCAGUGGGGAAUUUUGGACAAUGGGGGCGACCCUGAUCCAGCAAUGCCGCGUGAGUGAAGAAGGCCUUCGGGUUGUAAAGCUCUUUUGUCAGGGAAGAAACACCGGCUCUAACACAGUCCGGGAAUGACGGUACCUGAAGAAUAAGCACCGGCUAACUACGUGCCAGCCGCCGCGGUAAAAC
rnacentral:rRNA from 1 species